rnacentral:sRNA from 1 species
CGCCCAAUAUACACGCGAGGGGUUCGAACCCGAUCGGAGGGUUCGACCGCAUCGCCGGGAGCGAUGCGGCAUGAGCGCAGCGAACCCGCAGGGCGAGGCGCAGGGAAGCGCCGAGUUAUCCCUCGCUCUCCGCCA